rnacentral:lncRNA from 1 species
UGAUACAUCCUUUGAGUUAGUGAGAAUGUUAAUUCAUAUUUUCAAGAGUUAAAAAUUUAAGGCAUGAAUUUACAUAACUAACUCAUAAACUGCUCCUGACCAUAGGAUCAUCAUGAGGAUGGUGAUCGAUCCGGAAGGUUGGUGUACGAUCGCUUUCUUAGGAUAGAUGAGUCUUGAGUCUACGAUGUGGAGACAUCGGAGUGAGAGUACAGAUAUUCAUUGAGAAUGAGAGUACGGAGCAUGACCACCUCGAGCAGUCAUAAGGAAGUCUACCUUCUCGUCGAUGACUAGCUCGAUGCUGCAGUUGUGUGUCUAGUUCUUUGACCUAAGGUGCAUCGUCGGUUCAUCUUAAGUGUGUUAUAGUUUGACUACACCAUAACUCAGUCUCCUAGCCAUCUGGAACUCUGAGGUGUAUGUUGGCUGUAGCAUAUUCAUUGUAGGAACCAGAUCGCAUCAAGAUGGGAUCUAUCAAUCUCGAUAAAUGAGAGGAGUAAUCCUAUAGUGAUCGAAAGAUCGAGUCCUUAAGCCCAUGGCCAUGGCAGAGUGAAAUAAUGGAAAAAAGUUUUUCAUUGGGGUUUCACGUCGGACUCGGAUCAAUCGAUUGAUUCAUAUGACUGAUGUUGGGUUUGACGAGUUCACCUUAACCCUAAUUCAGUCGAGACUCAUGAUAGAG